UAUAUAAAAGCUACUUAGAUGCCACCAAAGGCUAUAGAAAGCAUUGUCAUGUGGGCACUGACGACCUCACCAAGACGGCGUCACGCUCCGCCACCAUUGGCCAGGCUUCCCAAGCGGGCGUGUCUCCUCUGGCAAUAUAACUCAUUGCUCUUGACCAUGAGGAGCUCCCUGCAGAGCCCAAAACUUAGACAUAGUCCUAAUGUUACAGAACGCACCAACUGUCACUUAAGAACAAACAUUAUGGCAGUUUUAUUCUUUACCAUAUUUGCAAAAGCUACAAAGGUCAACGGUCUUGAAAAAUUAAAGAGACUUUAUUCCAAUCAGUACUUUUUAAGGUCAAAUCUACAUCUGUUGUCAGCCCAACAUCCAAUCACUGUUGGGUAACAGCAGCGUGUUGGCCCCUUCAUCGCAAGGGGGCCUCUCUCCAAUUCCAGUCAAAACUUCAGGGACCCCUCAAAUGCAAUCCCAACACACAUUUUUCUUCUCAAACAUUGUGAAAUCAAAAACCAUUCCAAGUUUGAGCUGCCAAACAGGAUUUGGGAUCUUUCCAUUGCUCGUUCUGCUGAUGUAAACAAAGCGUGUUAAACACAGUUAGGAUGCAAACUGCAGAGCUUUGUCUUUCAUCUGUCGCUUUGAAAAAUCAGCUGAUCACCAACAGAUCCGUCUGUGUGCAUUAAAGAGGACACUCAUACGACCCUUUGUCUUCUGAAUAAAGCACACUGCGUUUAGCAAAUAACAUUUUCGCUUGAAGAGUACCUGUUGCUAUGCAACUUCUGCAUCAGACAGAAACAAAGAGUGAAUGAGCUGAAAGAGAAGAUAUUGAAGGACUCUGGGCCUCCUGAUCAUUUGUCAGGAACUGCUUCAGCCUUAGCUUGUGUUACCUCCCGGGCCUGUGAGCACAAACACUAUGCUGUCGACAGCGAGCAUCUAGUUUCUUUUGUUGAGCUUUUUUCAUACUUUGUUGAGGAACCUCCAAACCUUUCUGACUUGUAUGUCCUUCAUAAAGAUAAAGUUCAUUCCCGGUUUGGACUUGAUUAGAGGCACAGUGUCAGCUUGACUAUAAAAGGCUUUCAUUAAAACACAUUUUUGUUUUUCUUGUUUAUAGCCAUGUUUUUUCAUGCCUUUGCAACAAAACAAAAAAAAAAAAACAGUAAUUGCAAGUUAGAGCUCUCUCCAGGGAGUCAUCAACACUUCUACAAGAUUUACUGUAUCUUGAAAGACAAGAUUUCAAAAAAUCCUGCACUUCCAGUGUUUACUGAGCAGCCCGAGUGCAGAAGUGUGUGUGCUUUUUGGAGGAGGAUGCAUUCAGGGGACUGGGUCCCUUCAAGAGAUGUCUGCCAUGGCGCCAAAGCAGGAAGUGGAAGCCUUGAAACUGAGUGGGGAGGUUGACUAAAACCUCUCCCAAUACUGAAGCUGAACUCAACAAAGUCAGACUUUUGGUGCCAACAGAUGGUCUCAAGCAAAGCCCGGUGGAACCUCUCUGUGGUCCAUGUGCAUGUGGAACCAGGCUUCAGUGGCCUCACAGACUUUUCUCAGAUGGUAUUCCCAAGGUUUAUUCCCACUGGGUUAACUAGUACUCUGCAGGUUAAAGUGAGACCAUAUGAAACCUCUUAUAAACGGAAUGACCGAUGUCUGAGUAAAGACGUCGUGGCAGAGCUGCCGCAUCACUGCCUUAGUAAAAGGAGGUUCAUUUUAUUAUUACAAUUACUAACCCAAUGCUGCUUCAUGUAGACUUGACCAAACAAAAACAAAUACCCUUCUGUCAAGAAUAAACAUUUGUUUAGGGCUUAAUAUGUUGAAUUAAUUGAGAAUUUAGAGUGAAACAGAAUGUAACAACCCAGAAAAACGUUCUACUCAGAGAGGACUUUGCUGAUUGGAUAACUUUAAAUUUGCAAGAAAAUUAUUGGGGCAGGACUGAAGCUUUUCUCUGUUUGUACUCAGACUUCUGCACCAAUCACAAGUUCACACUUGCACUUUAAUCUGGUUUGAAUUUACUCUCAAAUGAUUGACAGAUUACUGUUUGGAAAUUCCUAUAAUCCUGUGGUCCAAAAAGGCUCAAUCUCGCCCAAUCACAGACCCUGGCCAAACUCCGCCCUUGCCCAGCUCAGCCUGAACAGGAAACCAGCUCCAGAUGCAACCCCAGGAGGACGGUGUGUUCAACAAAUGGGAAUCCAAACACGAAGAAGAGACGUGCGCACGCAGGACACCCAGGACCCAACAGCCAUGAAUCUCCCCUACAUGAAACACAUCAAGACAUCACAUUUCCUCUGCUCAUAUCAACAGUUUGCAGUCACUUCUACCAUCUCAACCUCUUCAUAAAACAGACCUGGUCUCAUGGCUUUUAUGCAUUUUACAUCUGUGAGCACAGAUGGUACAGAAAUGUUUUGACGCGUCACGCGACGCGGCUUAUUUUAGAAAAAUCUGCAAGUGCUUUUAUUGUGAAGGACAGAGUAAAAGCAGUGAAAGGUACUGCAGUUUGUAUUCCAUAGCUGUCUAUAGCUCUCAAAAGGUUGUUUUUUUCUGCACUACACAGGUACUUGCUGUAGAAUAGAAAGUCUUUACUGUCAUUAUACAUGGUAUAAUAAUAAAAUAAAGAAACUGUCCCAAA